rnacentral:rRNA from 1 species
GACGAACGCUGGCGGCGUGCUUAACACAUGCAAGUCGAACGGUGAAGGGGUCUGCUUUUGUGGGCCCUGGAUGAGUGGCGCACGGGUGAGUAACACGUGAGUAACCUGCCCCCUUCUUCUGGAUAACCGCAUGAAAGUGUGGCUAAUACGGGAUAUUCUGGGUCUGUCGCAUGAUGGGUCUGGGAAAGCUUGCGCCUUUGGGUGUUUUUGGUGGGGGAUGGGCUCGCGGCCUAUCAGCUGGUUGGUGGGGUGAUGGCCUACCAAGGCGGUGACGGGUAGCCGGCCGGAGAGGGGGGACGGUCACACUGGGACUGAGACACGGCCCAGACUCCUACGGGAGGCAGCAGUGGGGAAUAUUGCACAAGGGGCGCAAGCCUGAUGCAGCGACGCCGCGUGAGGGAGGGAGGCCUUCGGGGUGUAAACCUCUUUCGCCAGUGAAGCAGGCCUGCUCCUUGUGGGUGGGUUGACGGUAGCUGGAUAAGAAGCGCCGGCUAACUACGUG